rnacentral:misc_RNA from 1 species
GGUCUUGUGAUCCAACAGCUGAGGGAGGUGCGAAUUUGUCGAGAAGCAGAAAUUAAUUUUUUGACAGAGAUUUAUUGGAAUACAUCGAGAAAUUUAAAAGACGACAACGAAAAUGGUGGACCGUGCAAAUAUUAAAGAGAUGAUACCGGCUCUGCCAGACGAGAAAAUUGAUAUGCUAGCAGCCACAAGUAUUCUACAACAACAGGCAGCUGAUAUUCGAAAUCAAAGAAUCACUUGGGAGUCAUAUUCACGGUCUCAAAUGAUAUCAAAGGAAGAUCAUGAUUUUAUAGUUGCUUUCGAUACAAGCGACGCUAGUGUAAGAGAGGCAAAGCUGAAAGAGAAUCCACAUCAAGCUGCUAAGACUUUCUUGAAUUUACUUGGUCAUGUUUCAAGAGAUCAGACCAUUCAAUAUAUUCUUGUUAUGAUUGAUGAUAUGCUGCAGGAAGACCGUAGUCGUGUGGAAAUCUUCAGAGAACAUUCUAAUUGCAAAAGAGAAUCAGUAUGGGGACCUUUUUUAAAUUUACUGAAUAGACAGGAUGGAUUUAUCAUGAACAUGACUUCUCGUAUUAUUGCCAAGCUUGCUUGUUGGAGUCAUGAUUUAAUGGAAAAAACAGAUCUUCAGUUCUACUUGACCUGGCUCAAGGAUCAACUGAAACUCAGUUUUGAGGCUCUUCAAGACACAGACUUGCAUGUGGGAGUAGAACAAGGCAACGCUGUGGACAAAGAGGCAUAUGAGCUACACGAACACCAGAACCCGAAUAACGAAUACAUUCAAUCCGUGGCACGUUGCCUGCAAAUGAUGCUUCGUAUAGACGAAUAUCGUUUUGCGUUCGUAUCUGUAGAUGGAAUUUCCACUUUGCUUAGCGUCUUAACAGGCAGAGUAAACUUCCAAGUGCAAUAUCAACUUAUAUUUUGCUUAUGGGUACUUACUUUCAAUCCAUUACUUGCAGAAAAAAUGAACAAAUUCAAUGUAAUACCUAUCUUGGCUGAUAUAAUAAGUGAUUCUGUGAAAGAGAAAGUAACUCGUAUUAUUUUAGCAGUAUUUAGGAAUCUUAUUGAGAAAGUAGCGGAUGCACAAGUUGCUAAAGAACAUUGCAUCGCCAUGGUACAGUGCAAAGUAUUGAAACAACUUUCCAUUUUGGGACAACGUAAGUUCGAUGAUGAAGAUAUCACCGGUGAUAUCGAAUUCUUAAACGACAAAUUGCAAGCAUCUGUUCAGGAUUUAAGUUCCUUCGACGAAUAUUCGACCGAAGUAAAAUCCGGACGCCUUGAAUGGUCUCCCGUUCAUAAAUCUGGCAAAUUCUGGCGGGAGAACGCCAGCCGACUUAAUGAGAAGAAUUACGAAUUGCUGCGUAUUUUAGUCCACUUGUUGGGGUCUAAUAAAGACCCUCUUGUUCUCAGCGUAGCUAGCUUUGAUAUUGGAGAAUACGUAAGACACUAUCCACGCGGCAAACAUAUAAUCGAGCAACUUGGAGGUAAGCAACGAGUGAUGCAACUCCUUGGACAUGAAGAUCCGAAUGUGAGAUAUGAAGCUCUUCUUGCUGUUCAAAAGCUUAUGGUGCACAAUUGGGAAUACUUAGGAAAACAAUUAGAAAAAGAGCAAACAGGAACGUCAGGUGCUCCAGGGUCAAAAACUGGCGCGCAAGUACCAGCAAAAGCUUAAGUAGAGCAGUAAUUAUACUGUUACACCUUUACAGUUGCAAGUUUCUCUUGAAAUCCGUACAAUUUAUCUUCCGAUGUCAAUUGUGUUACGAGAUAUCGAAAGAUGUAUGGUAUAUCAACUUCCCUUACGGAAUCAUCGUCGCCACAAAGACG